rnacentral:rRNA from 1 species
AGUGAACGCUGGCGGUAGGCCUAACACAUGCAAGUCGAACGGCAGCACAGUAAGAGCUUGCUCUUACGGGUGGCGAGUGGCGGACGGGUGAGGAAUACAUCGGAAUCUACUUUUUCGUGGGGGAUAACGUAGGGAAACUUACGCUAAUACCGCAUACGACCUACGGGUGAAAGCAGGGGAUCUUCGGACCUUGCGCGAUUGAAUGAGCCGGUGUCGGAUUAGCUAGUUGGCGGGGUAAAGGCCCACCAAGGCGACGAUCCGUAGCUGGUCUGAGAGGAUGAUCAGCCACACUGGAACUGAGACACGGUCCAGACUCCUACGGGAGGCAGCAGUGGGGAAUAUUGGACAAUGGGCGCAAGCCUGAUCCAGCCAUACCGCGUGGGUGAAGAAGGCCUUCGGGUUGUAAAGCCCUUUUGUUGGGAAAGAAAAGCAGCAGGGUAAUACCCCGCGGUUCUGACGGUACCCAAAGAAUAAGCACCGGCUAACUUCGUG